UGUACUCCCAUAUACAAUUUGCUUGAUGCAGGUAUGCUUCUCCAGAUUAUAUGUGAAUCAUAAUUUAUAGUUGGAAAUACAUUGCAGACAAAUUCAAUGCAGUAUUUGCCAACUAUAAAUUAUGAUUCACAUAUCUGGAGCAUACCUGCAUCAAGUAAAUUGUAUAUGGCAGUACAG